rnacentral:rRNA from 1 species
AUUGAACGCUGGCGGCAGGCCUAACACAUGCAAGUCGAGCGGAGCGGCGGACGGGUGAGUAAUGCUUAGGAAUCUGCCUAUUAGUGGGGGACAACAUCUCGAAAGGGAUGCUAAUACCGCAUACUAAUAGAUGAGCCUAAGUCGGAUUAGCUAGUUGGUGGGGUAAAGGCCUACCAAGGCGACGAUCUGUAGCGGGUCUGAGAGGAUGAUCCGCAACACGGGGACGGGGAAACGGACCAGACUCCUACGGGAGGCAGCAGUGGGGAAUAUUGGACAAUGGGGGGAACCCUGAUCCAGCCAUGCCGCGUGUGUGAAGAAGGCCUUCGGGUUGUAAAGCACUUUCAGCGGGGAGGCGUUACCCGCAGAAGAAGCACCGGCUAACUCCGUGCCAGCAGCCGCGGUAAUUCCUGUCUCC